rnacentral:siRNA from 1 species
AUAGUUGAACGCGUUAAACAGUCA